CAAUAGCGUAUAUUAAAGUUGUUGCAGUUAAAAAGCUCGUAGUUGGACCUUGGACCUGGACAGGCGGUCCGCCUCAUGGCGAGUACUGUCUUGCUGGGUCUUUCCUCUUGGUGAUCUGUUGUUUCGGCAGCAGGGAACCAGGACCUUUACUUUGAAAAAAUUAGAGUGUUCAAAGCAGGCUCGACGCCGGAAUAUAUUAGCAUGGAAUAAUAAAAUAGGACGUGCGGUUCUAUUUUGUUGGUUUUUGGAAUCGCCGUAAUGAUUAAUAGGGACAGUCGGGGGCAUUAGUACUCACAUGCUAGAGGUGAAAUUCUUGGAUUUUGUGAAGACUAACUUCUGCGAAAGCAUUUGCCGAGGAUGUUUUCAUUAA
rnacentral:rRNA from 1 species